AUUGAACGCUGGCGGCAGGCCUAACACAUGCAAGUCGAACGAGUGGCGGACGGGUGAGUAAUGUCUGGGAAACUGCCUUAUAGAGGGUGAUAACUACUGGAAACGGUAGCUAAUACCGCAUACCAUCAGAUGUGCCCAGAUGGGAUUAGCUAGUUGGUGGGGUAACGGCGCACCAAGGCGACGAUCCCUAGCUGGUCUGAGAGGAUGACCAGCAACGCUGUAACUGAGACACGGUCCAUAUUCCUACGGGAGGCAGCAGUGGGGAAUAUUGCACAAUGGGCGCAAGCCUGAUGCAGCCAUGCCGCGUGUAUGAAGAAGGCCUUCGGGUUGUAAAGUACUGUCAGCGGGGAGGCGUUACCCGCAGAAGAAGCACCGGCUAACUCCGUGCCAGCAGCCGCGGUAAUUC
rnacentral:rRNA from 1 species